UACGUAGGCAGCGAGCGUUGUUCGGAGUUACUGGGCGUAAAGAGUGCGUAGGCGGUUUUCUAAGUUUUGGUGUGAAAUCUCCCGGCUUAACUGGGAGGGUGCGCCGAAAACUGGAAGGCUUGAGUAUGGGAGAGGUAAGCGGAAUUCCUGGUGUAGCGGUGAAAUGCGUAGAUAUCAGGAGGAACACCUGCGGUGUAGACGGCUUACUGGACCAUAACUGACGCUGAGGCACGAAAGCGUGGGUAGCAAACAGG
rnacentral:rRNA from 1 species